UCGCCGCCCUGCCCGCAGCGCCCGCGAUGAGGACCUGGGCUUGCGUUUUGCUGCUGGGCUUCGGCUACCUGUCCUGCACCUUCGGCGAGGAGGCCGAGAUCCCGCAGGAGCUCAUCGAGCGGCUGGCGCACAGCGAGAUCCACAGCAUCCGCGACCUGCAGCGCCUCCUGGAGAUUGACUCCGUAGGGUAUGAGGAUGUUUCAGAAUCAAACUUGAGGUCCUACAGUGUUCAUUCUGCUAAACAUGCGCAAGAGAAUCGUCCUGUGCCCAUUCGCAGAAAAAGAAGCAUUGAGGAAGCCAUCCCGGCUGUCUGCAAAACACGGACGGUUAUAUACGAGAUACCUCGGAGUCAGAUCGAUCCCACCUCCGCCAACUUCCUGAUAUGGCCGCCCUGUGUGGAGGUGAAACGGUGCACGGGCUGUUGCAACACCAGCAGCGUGAAAUGUCAGCCCUCGCGGAUACACCACAGAAGCGUCAAGGUGGCAAAAGUGGAAUAUGUUAGAAAAAAGCCAAAAUUAAAAGAAGUUCUGGUGAGAUUAGAAGAGCAUAUGGAAUGCACCUGUACAUCAUCAAAUACUAAUUCAGAUUAUAGAGAAGAAGAAACUGGAAGGCCUAGGGAAUCAGGUAAAAAACGGAAACGAAAAAAGUUAAAACCAACAUAAAACCUACUGGAACUAUUUGAUAUUCAGAUUAACAGGUAUUUAUUGGGAGUAGUAUGAUAGAAGCAAAGAUUUUGUAAAAUUCAACUUUAAAAGUGAGCAUGUAAACUCAAUCAAAACAGCAUUUAGAACUUCUUGUCCCAGAUGUAAGGUGAAAAUAAGCUAGAAAAAAAACUUCUCUCUGGGACAUGGAUGUACAUGGUUUGUUACAUUCCUGAACCUACUAUGUAUGGUGCUCAUUGACUGUAUAUUUUAUUUGUUCUCCUAUGUGAAAAAACUGGCUCAAAAGAACACUUAAUGAGAACAAAGAGACAAUGUACAUUUGUUUAAUGUGACAUCAAAGCAAGUAUUGUAGCACUCUGUGAAACAAUAGGAAGCUUCCCUGUCCAAAAAAAGAAAAAAAAUGAAAGAAAAAAAAAAUGAAAAGAAAAAAAAAGACAGUUGAAUGAAUGGAGGAUACCAAAAGUACUCAAAAACAUGACAAAAAUCUAAGUGAAUAGUGGAUUUCUGUCAGAGCAGUCAACGGUGCUUUACGUCAAGAAAUGUGCCUGUGUUCUUGAUGAAGAUGGAUGGACGCUGAUGGACUUCAGGCACAAAAAAAGCAGGAAUGUAUGAAAUGAUCAAAUGCCACGCAAACACUAUAGAACAAUACAUCCUUGCUUGGUGGUGUUUUAAAAGUCUAUACAAAAAAAAACCUUCUGGGGAGCCUUAAGUGGAUUUUUUUUUUUUUUUUUUUACACCAUAAAGUGAUUAUUAAGUUUUCUUUUUACUCUUUGCCUAGCUUUUUAUUAUCUCUUGGACUACAUUUGCCAAUAACACAUAUAAAAGACUGGUAUAACAAUAGCAGAACACAAAACAUUAUGGUAUUUCUCCUAGUGGGAUGCAAACUAAUGAGAUGUAUUAAAAUAAAAAUGGUAUACCUAUGCAUAAUUUUCUAGACGUUUCUUGGUUUAUGUUCCCCAACCUCCCCCGUAAUUUAAAGCAUUACAUGGAAAAGAGAGAUGUGCGUAAACAAAUCAUAGGAUAUCCAUGCAAAAGUCCUUUUUCCUUUAAGACUUAUGCCAGUUGCCUACUAGUGAUAUUGUGUUAGCAAUUGUCAUACUUAUCAGUAUACAGAUACUUUGAUUUCACAUGUUGGAGCUGUGUGAAAUGUACAAAUUCUUGUAUCUGCAUUGUACAAUGUCAUGGUGGCUUGGGAACUACCUUGCUGCAAAUAUUUGAACAAAACCUAAAAUUCUUUAUUUUUGGUAAAAUGUUAUGCUUUAUGUGUAUUCAACAGAAAUAUGUGUUUUUGUAAAGGUGAAGUUUGUAUUUUUAUCUAAAAAUUAACAGUUUUAUAUACCUGAGAAAGCCUGCUAUGUUUUCUUGAACCAAAAAAAAAAAAAAAAAAAGAAAGAAAAAAGACUAAAAAAAAAAACAUUUUGUGGUCAUAUUUUUGUAGUAGAAUAGCCCAAAUAACAUCCAAAUCUAUUUUAACUAUAGCAGGGCAGUUAAAAUACUCUGGCAUCAGCUCCUGUGUUUUCAAAGAAAACGCUCAGCUCCCCGUGGAUUGCAGUGGGAGCCACACGGCUAAAUCCUUGUCUGCUGCUUUGGAAAUUUAGGGCUGUGCCAGAUUAUGACGUGGCUACUCACUUGGCCAGAAUCACUGCCCCAGCCCAGUAGUCUGGAUUAUGUACCCUCUGUUUUAUUUGGAGUAUUGCAUUGGAUAUGUGAAAGGAACUACUGGAUUCUCCUCUUUGUAAAACAUCUACAAAGAGAUGAACGCGUUUUCUCUCCUUUGUUUGGAACGACAAAAAAACCAAGUUUGUUUUGAAGAGAGCGUUUCCACUCCAAUCAAAAAUAUCUUCAAGUGUGAAUGAACUGUAGAUCCUUAUAACAGGAAAAAAAAAAAAGAGUGAGAUUUUUAACCUUUCCAUUUCUAAAUAUAGUCCAACUGUUCCCCUCCUGUUCCUGUAGCUAUGUCCAAUUUCAACCAAACAAAGCAAUGUUAGCUAACAGGCAUUAUUGGCUUCAGAUGCUAAUGCAGAGAUAGAGUUAGUCAUCAUUCUAUUUUGUGAUCAUUUUCCCAGUGUAUUCGUUGAGCACCAAAACUGGAAAUACAUUUAACUAAGAUUGUCUGUGCUUGUUUUCCACUAAGUGUACUGUUCACAAUGUUAUGCACAUGAAUGUAUGUGUCUGCGUUUAAAAAGAAAGUGUAUAAAAUGUAAUUUAUAUAUUUAUGUUUCAGUGGGAUGCCAAUAAUGUUGCUCAGUUCUUUUUUUUUUUUUUGUCUAAAAGAUAUCUAAUGAAAAAAAAAAGUUCAUAUAUCCAUUAAAAUCAUGUAGAUAAAAAAUGUUACGUGACCCACUCGGACACUGUGCAGGUAUGAAAGGAUGUCAGAGUCACUUAAGUGGAAUAUUUGCAAAAGAAUUAUCAAGAGUCCUGUAGCUGCA